UACGGAGGGGGUNAGCGUUGUUCGGAAUUACUGGGCGUAAAGCGCGCGUAGGCGGAUUAGAAAGUUGGGGGUGAAAUNCNGGGGCUCAACCCNGGAACUGCGUCCNAAACUGCUAGUCUAGAGUUCGAGAGAGGNGAGUGGAAUUCCGAGUGUAGNGGUGAAAUUCGUAGAUAUUCGGAGGAACACCAGUGGCGAAGGCGGCUCACUGGCUCGANACUGACGCUGAGGNGCGAAAGUGUGGGGAGCAAACAGG
rnacentral:rRNA from 1 species